rnacentral:lncRNA from 1 species
UCCUUUACCAUUGUCUCCAAAGAUGACCAUCCCUCCAUUCUUAGCAUCAAGUAUGAUGAAUUGAGAUUCAUCACCAGUCAUGUAUCUCGAGCAUCCGCUAUCAAGAUACCAUUUUCUGUUUUCUCCUUGGGAUGCUAGACACACCUGCAGGCAAAAGUCAAGUUUUUAUUUUAGGUACCCAAGCUUUCUUGGGUCCUUUUUGGUUAGUCAUAAUGGUUCCUUUUGGAACCCAUAUUUUCUUUACAUUUGAGUUUACAGAUUUGGUAGAGAAGCAAGUGUAUGACUUGUGUCCUACUCUACCACAUUUGAAGCAAGUAAUAUUAGAAAACUUGUUACUUGAAAAGUUUACAUAGAUAUUUUUCAGAUACUUUUAUUUCUUCAAGGGGUUAUAGCCAAGUCCAGCCUUAUCAUACACGACCUUUUGAUUUUCAAGAAUCAUAUUAAGUUUAUUAGAACUCAAGGUGAAUUUUUCAACUAUUGGUUUUAGCUUGGCAAUUUUAUUCUUUAAAUUUUGAUUUUCUUGAAACAGGGUAGAUUUUUCAAUUGAAAUGCUUUCAUUUUGUUUCAGUAAAGAUUGAUUUUUUGAUUUUAGAUCUU